rnacentral:rRNA from 1 species
UACGUAGGGGGCAAGCGUUGUCCGGAUUUAUUGGGCGUAAAGGGCGCGUAGGCGGCCAUCUAAGUCAGACGUGAAAUCCCCCGGCUUAACCUGGGAACUGCGUCUGAUACUGGACGGCUUGAGUAUGGGGAGAGGGAUGUAGAAUUCCAGGUGUAGCGGUGAAAUGCGUAGAUAUCUGGAGGAAUACCGGUGGCGAAGGCGGCAUCCUGGACCAUUACUGACGCUGAGGCGCGAAAGCUAGGGGAGCAAACGGGG